rnacentral:rRNA from 1 species
AAUGAACGUUGGCGGCGUGGAUUAGGCAUGCAAGUCGAGCGCUCAUAGCAAUAUGGGAGCGGCGAACGGCGUAGUAAUAUGUAGGAACGUACCCUCGGGUCGGGGAUAGCCAUGGGAAACUGUGGGUAAUACCCGAUAAUCUCUGCGGAGCAAAGGUGUGAUUCCGCCUGAGGAGCGGCCUACACGAUAUUAGCUAGUUGGUAGGGUAAUGGCCUACCAAGGCUACGAUGUCUAGGGGGUGUGAGAGCAUGGCCCCCACGACCGGAACUGAGAUACUGUCCGGACACCUACGGGUGGCUGCAGUCGAGAAUCUUCCGCAAUGGACGAAAGUCUGACGGAGCGACGCCGCGUGCGGGAUGAAGGCCCUUGGGUUGUAAACCGCUGUCAGAGGGGAUGAAAUCUUCGGAGGUACUCCUCCGAAGUUGACAGAGCCUCAAAGGAAGCACGGGCUAAGUACGUG